UUUUUGGAGAGUUUGAUCUUGGCUCAGGACGAACGCUGGCGGCGUGCCUAAUACAUGCAAGUCGAGCGCUGGAAGCUAAUUUCAUCCCUUCGGGAUGAAAUUAGUGGAAAGAGCGGCGGACGGGUGAGUAACACGUGGGCAACCUACCUAUAAGACUGGGAUAACUCGCGGAAACGUGAGCUAAUACCGGAUAAUACUUUUUAUUGCAUAAUAAGAAGUUUGAAA
rnacentral:rRNA from 1 species